rnacentral:lncRNA from 1 species
CUCGUGCACGGUUCGCGCACCCACUGACCUGCGCCCACUGUCUGGCACUCCCUAGUGAGAUGAACCCAGUACCUCAGAUGGAAAUGCAGAAAUCACCAUCUUCUGCGUCGCUCACGCUGGGAGCUGUAGACCGGAGCUGUUCCUAUUCGGCCAUCUUGAAUUGUAGGCAUUUUUAAAAACAGACUCUGGAGAUGAAUCUUUUCUAGUUAUAUACUUUGUAUUACAUUUAUGCACUGUCUGCUGCCAAAGAUCUGAAACCAAUGAUCUCAUAUAUAUGGUACAGUUUUCUAGUUAUUUACAGUGGGAGAGUAAAUUAUCCAUGCUCAGAAGUAGUGUGUACUAGUCUCAGUAAGUCAAUGGGUUUCCCUGGAUCCAGGCUUGGAGAAAAUGUUUUCUCUUCUCUAUCUGCAAUUCUCCUGAACCAAUUCUGACGGAUAAUAUGACUGUGUCAACCACAAAAGAGGAAAAGAAUGGGCUUUAAAUCCCGCCUUUACAGCCAUCCAAGGCAGCUCCUUCUUCAAAGGAUGGAACUUUAAGGAUGGAACCAAUUGGCUACAAAUCAUUUUAGCUGAUGCACUGAGACAAUUCUGAAGCAAACUGUCUUAUCCUGGAUUUUGUCAGUAACUGGAGUUGAAGGACUUGAAGAUUCUCAAGGAUUGAUCCAGAAUAUGUUCCAGCAAAAACUACAGCAGAGUAACUUUGACAAGAAAAAUGUUCACUUGCUACCUAAGGAGAGUCUCUGUCUCCUGACCUCUGAAUUUCGAAAUCCUCAGCUCUGGCUGCCACGCAGUGGGAACCGAAUGAGUAUGUACUGAAUGGCGAAUCCUAGUUCAGUCACUUGACUAGCUGGGUGACCUUGAGCAAGUAACUUAGCUUCUUGAAGCCUCAGUCUCCUUAUCUAUAAAAUGGGACUCAAAGGCUGAGUCGAGUAUUAAAUGAAAUAAUACACGUAAAGCACAGUGCCAAAAAUCUGGUAAUAACUCCAUCAGUAUAAGGCCACCUUAUUUGCCUUCUUUCACAAUUAUCACCAGAAUUGAAUUAAAAUUCAGAUGUGAUCAUGUCUUGAAAUGUAGAAAGAGUUAUGAAAAUGUAAGACUUACUAAGUUCACUUAUCGAACAUUUUUUGACCACCUACUAUGUGCUAUGCCUUGGACUAGGCUAGAGAUACAACAGUAAACAUCUUGACUAACGGAGAUUAUGCUGCUAUCUUGAAAUUUUGCCUGUUCCCAAAAGCCCCCAGCAUAUUAAUUUUGUUAAAUAUAUAUUCCCUUAUUAUAUAUAUAAAACAUAUAUAUCCU